rnacentral:rRNA from 1 species
GGCGGCGUGCUUAACACAUGCAAGUCGAACGAUGAUCUCCAGCUUGCUGGGGGGAUUAGUGGCGAACGGGUGAGUAACACGUGAGUAACCUGCCCUUAACUCUGGGAUAAGCCUGGGAAACUGGGUCUAAUACCGGAUAUGACUCCUCAUCGCAUGGUGGGGGGUGGAAAGCUUUUUGUGGUUUUGGAUGGACUCGCGGCCUAUCAGCUUGUUGGUGAGGUAAUGGCUUACCAAGGCGAUGACGGGUAGCCGGCCUGAGAGGGUGACCGGCCACACUGGGACUGAGACACGGCCCAGACUCCUACGGGAGGCAGCAGUGGGGAAUAUUGCACAAUGGGCGCAAGCCUGAUGCAGCGACGCCGCGUGAGGGAUGACGGCCUUCGGGUUGUAAACCUCUUUCAGUAGGGAAGAAGCGAAAGUGACGGUACCUGCAGAAGAAGCGCCGGCUAACUACGUGCCAGCAGCCGCGGUAAUACGUAGGGCGCAAGCGUUAUCCGGAAUUAUUGGGCGUAAAGAGCUCGUAGGCGGUUUGUCGCGUCUGCCGUGAAAGUCCGGGGCUCAACUCCGGAUCUGCGGUGGGUACGGGCAGACUAGAGUGAUGUAGGGGAGACUGGAUUCCUGU